AUGCAGAUUAUUUCCUCACUGUUUAACUUCUCUCACGCCUACGUCGUUGUUCCGCCCCUGUAUCACCCACGUCGGUCCGCCGUUUCACGUCUCCUUGCCGCUGUUUUACGCCCCCGUUUCAUAUCUCCUCGCCGCCGGCUGCACGAAGAUAUCCUUCGCCGGCCAUUUUGCCGUCCGUUCGCCGUCUUCGAAACAUCCUCCGCCGUCCAACUACGAUUCUGGCUGUUAGGCAGUGUUUUGGAGAUUGUUGUGGAUUUUGGGAGUUUUGUGCAGUUUGGUAGGCUUGUUUUGUUCGGGAACUGCAGGUUUUUGCUUGAAACUGUUAACAGGUUUUGGAGCCUUGACUUUUUGAAGAGAGUUGCCAAUCUUUGA